rnacentral:rRNA from 1 species
GUGCAUGAAGCUGGAAUCGCUAGUAAUCGCGGAUCAGAAUGCCGCGGUGAAUACGUUCCCGGGUCUUGUACACACCGCCCGUCACACCAUGGGAGUCGGGAAUGCCCGAAGCCGGUGGCCCAAUCGAGAGAAGGGAGCCGUCGAAGGCAGGCCGGAUGACUGGGGUGAAGUCGUAACAAGGUACC